CCUACGGGAGGCAGCAGUGAGGAAUAUUGGUCAAUGGACGAGAGUCUGAACCAGCCAAGUAGCGUGAAGGAUGACUGCCCUAUGGGUUGUAAACUUCUUUUAUAAAGGAAUAAAACGAGGCACGUGUGCCUUUUUGCAUGUACCUUAUGAAUAAGGAUCGGCUAACUCCGUGCCAGCAGCCGCGGUAAUUCGGAGGAUCCGAGCGUUAUCCGGAUUUAUUUGGUUUAAAGGGAGCGUAGAUGGGUUGUUAAGUCAGUUGUGAAAGUUUGCGGCUCAACCGUAAAAUUGCAAUUGAUACUGGCAGUCUUGAGUACAGUUGAGGUAGGCGGAAUUCGUGGUGUAGCGGUGAAAUGCUUAGAUAUCACGAAGAACCCCGAUUGCGAAGGCAGCUUACUAAACUGUGACUGACAUUGAUGCUCGAAAGUGUGGGUAUCAAACAGGAUUAGAUACCCGGGUAGUC
rnacentral:rRNA from 1 species